CACCAUGCCUAAGUCCACUGAAGGCACCAGAUCCCAUAUGAUCCCAGAAGCUAAGCAGAGUGAGCCUUGGUUAGCACCUGGGUGGAAGUUCACCAAUGAAUACCAGGUGGCAUAGGCC
rfam:Anolis carolinensis chromosome 4, whole genome shotgun sequence.